rnacentral:rRNA from 1 species
ACUGGGAUAACCCUGGGAAACUGGGGAUAAUACUAGAUAGGCAAUUUUUCCUGGAAUGGUUUUUUGUUUAAAUGUUUUUUCGCCUAAGGAUGGGUCUGCGGCCGAUUAGGUAGUUGGUUAGGUAACGGCUUACCAAGCCAUUGAUCGGUACGGGUUGUGAGAGCAAGAGCCCGGAGAUGGAACCUGAGACAAGGUUCCAGGCCCUACGGGGUGCAGCAGGCGCGAAACCUCCGCAAUGUGAGAAAUCGCGACGGGGGGAUCCCAAGUGCCAUUCUUAACGGGAUGGCUUUUCAUUAGUGUAAAGAGCUUUUGGAAUAAGGGCUGGGCAAGACCGGUGCCAGCCGCCGCGGUAACACCGGCAGCUCUAGUGGUAGCAGUUUUUAUUGGGCCUAAAGCGUCCGUAGCCGGUUUAAUAAGUCUCUGGUGAAAUCCUGUAGCUUAACUGUGGGAAUUGCUGGAGAUACUAUUAGACUUGAGACCGGGAGAGGUUAGAGGUACUCCCAGGGUAGAGGUGAAAUUCUGUAAUCCUGGGAGGACCGCCUGUUGCGAAGGCGUCUAACUGGAACGGUUCUGACGGUGAGGGACGAAAGUUAGGGGCGCGAACCGGAUUAGAUACCCGGGUAGUCCUAACUGUAAACGAUGCGGACUUGGUGUUGG